GCGCUUCACCGGCUGCCAGCGUGAAAAUUCAAUGCCAGCAAGGAGCUCGGAGACUACCUACGAAAACGGAAUAACCAUGCACCAUGUGGGUGUGCGCACCGCCUCCAAGAAACUGCUCAUAUCAGCACACGCUCGGAUGCUUUAUCUCUGAACCUACCUCAAGUCAGCAGAGGAUUUUCCACUACUGAAAGUAAAUUCGUCGUCCCAAAUCCUCACAAGAAAACUGGACAAAAGAGAGAUCAUUGGUUUCCAAGCUACCCACACCAAGUCGUAAGAAGCUCAAGAGUCGCCUAUCCACCACCAAAGUUUACCAGGCGGACAAAUGCAAGCCUUAUACUGAAAAGCAGUGAUAGUG